rnacentral:rRNA from 1 species
AUUGAACGCUGGCGGAAUGCUUUACACAUGCAAGUCGAACGGCAGCACGGGGGCAGCCCUGGUGGCGAGUGGCGAACGGGUGAGUAAUACAUCGGAACGUGCCCGGUCGUGGGGGAUAACGUAGCGAAAGUUACGCUAAUACCGCAUACGAUCUGAGGAUGAAAGCGGGGGACCUUCGGGCCUCGCGCGAUCGGAGCGGCCGAUGUCAGAUUAGGUAGUUGGUGGGGUAAAGGCCUACCAAGCCGACGAUCUGUAGCUGGUCUGAGAGGACGACAAGCCACACUGGGACGGAGACACGGCCCAGACUCCUACGGGAGGCAGCAGUGGGGAAUGUUGGACAAUGGGCGCAAGCCUGAUCCAGCCAUUCCGCGUGCAGGACGAAGGCCUUCGGGUUGUAAACUGCUUUUGUACGGAACGAAAAGGCUCUGGCUAAUACCUGGGGCUCAUGACGGUACCGGAAGAAUAAGCACCGGCUAACUACGUG